AAAAACCUAGACACACUCUCUUUGAUCAGACCCAAGCGGCGCACAAGAAAAGAUGAAAUGGAGAGCUCUUCAUCUUUUCUGGACAGAUGAGCAGACCCAAGAGUUCUUGCUACUCCCCACAUACAGGUGCCAUCGAUUCAUGUCCAAAAUUCAAGCCCAGCUUUGAAAAUUCAAAAGAGAGUUUCAAAUACAAACCAAAACAGAAACAAAGGAGGAUUUGAAAGCUAUUCACACUUCUACUUAUUUUUUACUUCAAUUUUUCUGGAAUGUCAAGUGACAUUUGGGUUUAGAGCUUCCGAUUCAGGCACUAGUUAAGAAAUUUGGCGGAUUGAAUCGUUGUCCGUUGCCGUCGAGUUGAACUCAUUUGGUCGCUGGUUUGUCUCUGUUUCUGCUGCUGGAUUUUGCCUUAUAUUUCAGAAUUGUGUUGGUUAUCUCCAGUUUAUUUUCGGUGUUUAGUUGGUUAGAAUCUGCUGAUAGAAGUUGAAGGUUUGCUGCUAGUUUCCUGUUGCUGUAAAAGAUUUUGUGCUUGCUGCCCGCAGUCCUGUAUUGUUCAGUUUCUGUUCAAUAGUGAAGAUGUUCGUUUUUUGGGGGGAUUGAUGUUACGACAGUUUUUCUGAACAGUUGAGGGAGUUUUGCACAAGUUUUAGCUUCAGUUAACUCAACUGCAUUGCUCCAGGUUAUAUGCCAACAAUACACUACUGAAAUUCAAGUUUUGAGUAUCUUUUUGAAAGCAAAUUCUGCAUUGUUCAGCUGCACUUUGUCUGCACUAUUUGGUUAUUCUGGUUGAAGCUGCUGACUACUUACUUGAUUCUCCUUGCCGGAAGCAGAAGAACAUGCUAAGACUUGGGUCGUGGGGUAAGGAAACCUUCUGUUAUUGAGAGAUCCCUCAAGUUGCACUUUGAAUAUGCUUGUAAUAAAUAGAAGUAAUAUAACAGUGCUUUGUUCUCCAAGGCUUCAAGGUGUGACCAUGUUGGAUACAAUCUGAAAGUUGUGUUCCAAUCCACGUGAUCUUCUGGCUUGUACACGCUAAUCCACCAGACAACUUGCUUAACCCACAUGCAUUAGUCUACAAUUUCAUCGAUGCCUUGUUGGCAGCCAAUGUUCUCAUGCCUGUAUUUACUCUUGGAAUAGCUCUAUUUUAUAUCCCCUAGCGAUUGUUGUGAUAACUCCAGCGGCUCAAGGGAGGAGGGGGUAUGCGGACAAAAUAUUGCCUGAAGUAUUAGGAACUUUGUUUGUUACUUGAUAGAUAUUGGGAUGAAUUUGUCCAAAAAAAUUCCUAUUUAUUUUUCAGCAGAUGCAGUUUGGCUAAACGAUGAGGACACAUCGAUAACACAGCUAAAACACCAGCAGAAUCCAUGUUUGAUGAGAGCCCUGCUAGAUUUAGCUAGUGCAUCAUACACAUUUCUAAGUUCUUUCUGCCCAAGCUACAAUUUUAUGGUUUCAGGAGUUAGACACAGAAUUAGUUGAUUGUAUGUGAGAAUCAAGUCUUUUCAAGUAUGUAAUGACAGAAUAGUUGAUUGGAUACUCGCAUGCCAAAAAGAAACAGAACCUAAAGAAUUUGUGCAUUUGAAAUUU